rnacentral:rRNA from 1 species
UACGGAGGGGCCUAGCGUUGUUCGGAAUUACUGGGCGUAAAGCGCACGUAGGCGGUUUUGUAAGUUAGGGGUGAAAUCCCGGGGCUCAACCUCGGAACUGCCUUUGAUACUGCAAAUCUCGAGUCCGGAAGAGGUGAGUGGAAUUCCUAGUGUAGAGGUGAAAUUCGUAGAUAUUAGGAAGAACACCAGUGGCGAAGGCGGCUCACUGGUCCGGUACUGACGCUGAGGUGCGAAAGCGUGGGGAGCAAACAGG